rnacentral:rRNA from 1 species
GGCGAUCAGAUACCGCCCUAGUUCUGACCGUAAACGAUGCCAACUAUCGAUCCGCCGGUGGAUUUUUAGCCCUGGUGGGUAGCUUCCCGGAAACGAAAGUCUUCCGGUUCCGGGGGAAGUAUGGUUGCAAAGCUGAAACUUAAAGGAAUUGACGGAAGGGCACCACCAGGAGUGGAGCCUGCGGCUUAAUUUGACUCAACACGGGGAAACUCACCCGGCCCGGACACCGUAAGGAUUGACAGAUUGAUAGCUCUUUCAUGAUUCGGUGGUUGGUGGUGCAUGGCCGUUCUUAGUUCGUGGAUCGAUUUGUCUGGUUUAUUCCGAUAACGAGCGAGACUCUAGCCUACUAAAUAGUAACGAGAUUGCCAUUGUCUUAGUUGCUUCUUAGAGGGAUUUUCGGUGUUUAGCCGCACGAGAUUGAGCAAUAACAGGUCUGUGAUGCCCUUAGAUGUCCGGGGCUGCACGCGCGCUACACUGGCGAAAUCAGCGUGCUGUAUCCAUUCUCGAAAGGGAUUGGUAAACCCAUGAAAAUUUGCCGUGCUUGGGAUCGGAAAUUGCAAUUAUUUUCCGUGAACGAGGAAUUCCAAGUAAGUGCGAGUCAUCAACUCGCUCUGAUUACGUCCCUGCCCUUUGUA